ensembl:lncRNA
GGAAGCGCCCUUUUUCCCCUCUGCUCUUCUUCCAGCGGCGCAAUGUGAUCCACCGGCAAGGAGGGACGCCAAUAGGGCGUCUGAUAAGAUAAGUCUUAUAAAAUAUAUAGGUUUAUGAUAAUUAAGACUGAGCUAACAGAUGAGGAAUCCUAGUCAUUGGCCAAGCAGCAUUGUACCUAAUACGUCUCUGUAUUAUUUUGUCCAUCCACGCGGCGGGCAGAACUCAAGCGCAGCUGGCAGAGACCGCCCGUGUGGCGGUAGGGCUGGGGAGCUUUUGGCGGAAAGAUUUAUCUUAACACACACACACACAUGUGUAAAUAUACAUUCUAGUGUACACACAUGCUUGUAUAAACACACUCAUGCACGCAUGUAUGUGUAGAUGCAAUUACCCAUGCAAACAUGCAGACGCAUUUAAUAAACGUACACAUGUGCACACAUGCAAAGCAAGCACACACAUGUAUAUACACGUGAACUGUGGCAUAAAACAGCUAUGUGCUGUGGUCAUACUGUGUCAGACUCUUGGGACAGGUUCAGCUGGGCAGGCAUCAUCACAGAAGGCUGGCCUAGGCAGCAGGGCCUGCUUCAAGAUGUCCGUUCCUGACUAGCAGCCUACAGCUGCUUUGUCUUACCUCCACAACUGUUUGUGUCUCUGUGGCAGGGGCUGAAGUGGUCCCAGAUGUAUCACCGUAGCUCACAGGCAGCUGUGAGUCAUAGUGAACGUGGGAGGCAGUGUUCCAAUGAGCUAUAGUGUGUAAGCUGCUGCUGUGGUCCCUUGUAGGCCAUAGUUGGGACUUUGGCUUACGGUCAUAGGCUGAGCAACACAGAGAGCGCGCUGGAGGGACAUGACUGAAAAAGUAACCUGGCAUGACUCUGUUGUAACAGGACCUCCCUGGCUACUACCAUUAGGAACACUGGUGGGGCCUAGAGGGAAGCUAGAAGAGCCACUCCCGGGGCGGGUGGCAUCAUUUCAUGGGCUGGGGUCCUUCACUGAAUAAAAAGGAAAACGUGAGCUGAGUCCCAGCAUCUGUUACUCUCUGCUUCCUGAUUGCCAUACAAUAUGACCUGACACCUGACUUCCUGGUGCCAUGCUUUCCCCAUCAUUACAGGCACGGUAUCCUCAAACUGUGAACCAAAAUAAACCCUUCCUUAAGUUGCUUUUGUCAGGCAUUUUGUUAAGGCGAUGAGAACAGUAACUAGCGUGGGGUCACAGGGUCAUGGCUCCGGGAGUGAGCAUUGAGCCAAUCACACUCUUGUACUGCAGGGUAGCUGUGUCUGGAGCUGGAAUGUUAGAACAGCUGUAGGCAAGAGGGAAGUGAGUGUCUACAGGCAGAGGCACCAAGGUUGUGAUUAUACAGAGGGGUCAGGGAGCAUGGCACUCUUUGGUUCCCUGGAGCACGGUGUUGGAAGUGUCCCGAUUAGACAAGCCACAGCUGGCCAGUUCCUGACCUUGGGGCACAGCUCAUUAAAAGAAACAUGUAAAUGCGUAAAUAAAAAGGAAGCUAAGGAGUUUGCGACUCAAGCUGGUGAUUCAUUUCCUGUAGCCAUUGAACCUUGGGUCCAGUGUUUUGUUCUGCUAGUUAGCUAGGAUUUUGUCUUUCUCUCCAGUUGUCUGUAAAUCAGACUCAAAGGAAGCCAGGCAACGAUCUUCGGCCCUUGUCCCAAGAAGCAGAUUGAUAGAAGAGCCCAGGCAGCCAGCUUCUAUAGUUUUGCUCUCCUUUCCAAUUUAGUGCCCAUCCGAGGUCAAAUAUGCUCACUUAACUAAUUGCACUGCUUAGAAGUAGGUAUGUCCGGUGUCCCUGGGUUAGCAGCUUCCAGUCAGUGUGGACCAGAACUGUCCUUUUCUGUCAUCCACCUGCCCACAUUUCAACACCAGAGGUGGCUACAGACUUCUUACCUGCCACCUCUGCUUUUCUUUUUUAGUGGACUUUAUUUCCACCAUGUCCUUAGCAGCAAAGCUUACUGAAUAAACCUACUCUCUAAAACUUCAUUCAUUAUGUUCUCAUCAUUGUGACCAACAUGACAGGAACAACAUGAAGGAGGAGGAAGGACUUACUAUGACUCACCCUUUCAGAGGGUUCAAUCCAUGGUCACUUGUCCCCAUGUGCUUGGCUACAGUGUUGUGGCAGCUGGAACGCGUGGCAGAGUGGAUUCUUCUUGGAAAACAGGAAGGGGAUGAAAACAAGGGACACUGGGAGGGGUAGGUUAAAUUGCAGCCACUGGGCUGGGGAUGUGGCUCAGUUGGUAGAGCACUUGAUUCAGGAAGCCCUUGGUUCAGUCUCCUGUACUAUAUAAACCAGGUCCAUGUCUGUAAUUCCAGCACUCGGGAGGUAGGGGCCGAAGGAUCAGGAGUGCAAGAUGAUCUUCACAUACAAAGAGGAUUCUGGUCCAGACUGGGCUAGAAACACUGUCAAACAGCAACAACCAAUGAACCAACCAACCAAACAAACACACACACAACAAAAUGAAACUCAAACUCUCUGCUGUGGUUGAAUGGGACAUGUCCCCACGGGCACAUGUGUUUGCACACUUAGUUCCCCAGCAGGUGGCGCUGUUUGGGGAGACUUAUGGAACCUUUACGAGGCUGAGUCUUGUUGGAGGAAGUACAUUACCUGUGAGCUUUGGGGGCUCACAGCCUGGCUCAUUUCCUAUUUUCACUCUACUUCCAGGCUGCCUGGCUGACUUAGCCUUGUCAUUGUGCCUUCCCACCAUGAUGGAUUGUGUCUUUUCUGGAACUCUGAGCCAAGAUGCUCAAGCCACGCCCAGUGUCACUCUCUCUUCCUGCUGCCUGCCGAUUCGGAUGUAGAAAUCUCCAUCCUUCUCUAGCACCACGUCUGCCUGCAAGCACCAUACUUCCUGCCAUGGUGAUGAUGAUGGACUAAACCUCUGAACAUGUAAUCACAAAAGACUGAGAUUGGAGCCCAGCUACAUGGAAAAGACACGGUUACUGUAGGAGAAACUGCGGCCAGCCUACCCGCGCUUCAGGUGCCCAGGCCAGGUGCCCAGGCCAGCUCUCAUGAACAUUUGAGGCAGGCACUUCCUCCCUGAGACAAGCCUGCCUCUUAAGCCCAGAGACUGCUGACGAAGAGACCCCUGACCAGAGACACCAAUGAGGAAUGGACAACACAGCGGAGUCAGCCGCCUGAGCCAAUAGGAUCUUGGGAAGGGGUAAAAGGCAGGACUAACUUCCUUGAUAAAUGAGUCUGCAGCACUCUCUGCUACUCACUGACUCCCAGUGCCUGAGUCUUUGGUGCUGCAUCUUCUCACCCCGCCUCCCGAAACAAGUUACCACCUGCAUUAGGAUAAAAAUCAAGAAAACUUCCUGUCCUGGUGUGCUUGCUCUCCUGCUUCCUGGAGGAGUUCACCCUCUUGACCGAG